rnacentral:tRNA from 1 species
GGCUCGAUGGCGAAGUUGGUUAUAUCAUCCGUCUCGCAUGCGGAAAAUUCUCAGUUCGAGGCUGGGUCGACUCA